rnacentral:rRNA from 1 species
CAUACCAUGCUGAAUAUACCGGUUCUCGUUAGAUCACCGAAGCCAAGCAUCAUUGGGCGCACUUGGGUGGGUGACCACCUGGGAACACCGCGUGCCGUU